rnacentral:rRNA from 2 species
CGAGGGGCAGCAUAGAGUAGCAAUACUUUGAUGGCGACCGGCGCACGGGUGAGUAACACGUAUGCAACCUACCUACAUCAGGGGAAUAACCCGGAGAAAUUCGGACUAAUACCGCAUAAUACAGGGAUGCCGCAUGGCAAUAUUUGUUAAAGAUUUAUCGGAUGUAGAUGGGCAUGCGUUCCAUUAGCUAGUUGGUAAGGUAACGGCUUACCAAGGCAACGAUGGAUAGGGGAACUGAGAGGUUUGUCCCCCACACUGGAACUGAGACACGGACCAGACUCCUACGGGAGGCAGCAGUGAGGAAUAUUGGUCAAUGGACGAGAGUCUGAACCAGCCAAAUCGCGUGAAGGAAGACUGCCCUACGGGUUGUAAACUUCUUUUGUACAGGAAUAAAAGACAUUACGUGUAAUGUAUUGCAUGUACUGUACGAAUAAGCAUCGGCUAACUCCGUGCCAGCAGCCGCGGUAAUACGGAGGAUGCGAGCGUUAUCCGGAUUUAUUGGGUUUAAAGGGUGCGCAGGCGGGAUUUUAAGUCAGCGGUGAAAUUUUCAGGCUCAACCUGAACACUGCCGUUGAAACUGGGAUUCUUGAGUAUGGAUGAAGUAGGCGGAAUUCGUUGUGUAGCGGUGACAUGCUUAGAUAUAACGAGGAACUCCGAUUGCGUAGGCAGCUUACUAAGCCAUAACUGACGCUCAAGCACGAAAGCGUGGGGAUCAAACAGGAUUAGAUACCCUGGUAGUCCACGCCGUAAACGAUGAUUACUAGUUGUUUGCGAUAUACCGUAAGUGACUAAGCGAAAGCGAUAAGUAAUCCACCUGGGGAGUACGCCGGCAACGGUGAAACUCAAAGGAAUUGACGGGGGCCCGCACAAGCGGANGAACAUGUGGUUUAAUUCGAUGAUACGCGAGGAACCUUACCCGGGCUUGAAAUGUACCUGACCGUCCUUGAAAAGGGACUUCUAGCAAUAGCNNNAUGUNNNGCUGCAUGGNNGUCGUCA